rnacentral:rRNA from 1 species
UACAGAGGGUGCGAGCGUUGUUCGGAAUUAUUGGGCGUAAAGGGCGCGUAGGCGGUGCGGUAAGUCACCUGUGAAAUCUCCCGGCUUAACUGGGAGCCUGCAGGCGAAACUGCCGUGCUGGAGUGUGGGAGAGGUGCGUGGAAUUCCCGGCGUAGCGGUGAAAUGCGUAGAUAUCGGGAGGAACACCUGUGGCGAAAGCGGCGCACUGGACCACAACUGACGCUGAGGCGCGAAAGCUAGGGGAGCAAACAGG